GAUGAACGCUGGCGGCGUGCCUAAUACAUGCAAGUCGAGCGAAUGGAUUAAGAGCUUGCUCUUAUGAAGUUAGCGGCGGACGGGUGAGUAACACGUGGGUAACCUGCCCAUAAGACUGGGAUAACUCCGGGAAACCGAGGCUAAUACCGGAUAGCAUUUUGAACCGCAUGGUUCGAAAUUGAAAGGCGGCUUCGGCUGUCACUUAUGGAUGGACCCGCGUCGCAUUAGCUAGUUGGUGAGGUAACGGCUCACCAAGGCAACGAGGCGUAGCCGACCUGAGAGGGUGAUCGGCCACACUGGGACUGAGACACGGCCCAGACUCCUACGGGAGGCAGCAGUAGGGAAUCUUCCGCAAUGGACGAAAGUCUGACGGAGCAACGCCGCGUGAGUGAUGAAGGCUUUCGGGUCGUAAAACUCUGUUGUUAGGGAAGAACAAGUGCUAGUUGAAUAAGCUGGCACCUUGACGGUACCUAACCAGAAAGCCACGGCUAACUACGUGCCAGCAGCCGCCGUAA
rnacentral:rRNA from 1 species